rnacentral:rRNA from 1 species
UCUGCCGGCGACCGGCGCACGGGUGAGUAACGCGUAUGCGACCUGCCCGUCACAGGGGGAUAAUCCGGAGAAAUCCGGUCUAAUACCGCAUAAUAUCGUGAAGCUGCAUGGUUUUGCGAUUAAAGGAGCGAUCCGGUGACGGAUGGGCAUGCGUGACAUUAGCUAGUCGGCGGGGUAACGGCCCACCGAGGCGACGAUGUCUAGGGGUUCUGAGAGGAAGGUCCCCCACACUGGUACUGAGACACGGACCAGACUCCUACGGGAGGCAGCAGUGAGGAAUAUUGGUCAAUGGGCUUACGCCUGAACCAGCCAAGUCGCGUGAGGGAAGACUGCCCUAUGGGUUGUAAACCUCUUUUGUCAGGGAGCAACGCCGGCUACGUGUAGCCGGACUGAGAGUACCUGAAGAAAAAGCAUCGGCUAACUCCGUGCCAGCAGCCGCGGUAAUACGGAGGAUGCGAGC